UAGGGAAUCUUCGGCAAUGGACGAAAAGUACUGACCGAGCAACGCCGCGUGAGUGAAGAAGGUUUUCGGAUCGUAAAACUCUGUUGGUAGAGAAGAACGUUGGUGAGAGUGGAAAGCUCAUCAAGUGACGGUAACUACCCAGAAAGGGACGGCUAACUACGUGCCAG
rnacentral:rRNA from 1 species